rnacentral:lncRNA from 1 species
CCAACUGCUUGUAUGUUCCGCCUACGCGUCACAAGUAAUAUUAAUUAUUGCAUGUAACAUACUUAUUCACAAGAUGCAUAAGAAACUUGCUUUUUCGCGCUGUAUUCGUGCUAGUGUGAGAGUACAAUAAUAUACGUGCGCUGCCAUCACCCUAAAUUAUCUUCAUCUCUAGGAUGUUUCAGCCGGGCGGCUUAUCUCUGAUAAUAAAGCGGGAGCAGGGGUUUGCCGCAUGCAGUGACAGCGGUAGCUAGUAGCUAUUGUGCGCGAAGCGUACAUGAUGAUGUGUGGCCUGCUGCUGCCUGAGGUUGCGCCACGAACGCGCCCAAGAGCAGGCGCCUUUGAUGCUGUCGAUGCGCCCCAGAAUAACGCGGCGCUAGAGCCCCAAGGGGGAAAGAGCGGGAUGAGUCCCAAGCCACAAACCCCAGACAUGUCACAACCUGGACGAGUCCGCAAGCGAGAUGUCAUUCAGGACGUACGUAACCCAG